rnacentral:rRNA from 1 species
GAUCAUGGCUCAGGACGAACGCUGGCGGCGUGCCUAACACAUGCAAGUCGAACGGAGUCGGCCCCGCAAGGGACUGACUUAGUGGCGAACGGGUGAGUAACGCGUGAGCAACCUGCCUUUCAGUGGGGGACAACAGUUGGAAACGACUGCUAAUACCGCAUAAUGCAUUUUGAUCGCAUGGUCGAGAUGCCAAAGAUUUAUUGCUGAAAGAUGGGCUCGCGUCUGAUUAG